CACAUAGGUGCUCGAAAGAGUAAUCGAGUACACUGAACUACGAUCAAAAGAGAGUUCGAACAUACAUGUCGUGUAUGAACUCUAAAGUUGCAAUAUGCAAAGUAGUCCUUUGACCUGAGGCAUCAUAGAUGUCUAAUGGUUAGGUUCUUGAUCUUUAAUCAUGUCAACGGCAUUCCCUCGGAAUGUCCACGGCAUUGUUGGGGUCAAGCUAUCUAGUAAUGUAGGCAUAUGAAUGCACAACAAGGGAUCUCUAACCUUCCAUGGUGGAAGGAGAAUACUCUAAGAUAU
rnacentral:lncRNA from 1 species